AACUGCGAGUGAAGAGGGAAGAGCUCAUCAUUGGAAUCUGGCGGUGUUGCACCGCUCCGAGUUGUAGAUGAGGAGUGGUUCAUCUGGACUGCAUGGCAUCCAAGUACAAUAGGCCGUCAGUGGGACAUCAUAGAGGGUGACAAUCCCGUCCUUGAUGCUAAUGUACAAGUCCUUUACGAUGGCUAUCUCAGAGAGUCGAGCAGUUUGGGAUUUGCUGCUUAAACAUGGGAGGUAGAUUCCUUCUAAAGCUAAAUACAGGCGAGAGACCGAUAGAGAACAAGUACCGCAAGGGAAAGAUGAAAUAGAACUCUGUGAAGGGAGUCAAAAGGCGUGAAAUUGUUGCGAGAGAAGCGAUUCAAGUCAGCGUAGCUAGGCCCAUCAAGCUUUAUCGCUUUGGACUAGCUUUGCCAGCGGUCUUGUCCUCAGAAGACUUGACUUUAGUAUGCCCAGCCUGGUCUAUACAGGUAGCCCCUUCACGGGGGCCAGCGGCAUGGCUGGUGGAAUGGCUUGCAAUCGACCCGUCUUGAAACACGGACCAAGGAGUCUAACAUGUAUGCGAGUAUAAGGGUGGCAAACCCGUAUGCGCAAUGAAAGUGACUUUCGUUGAUUGAGAAUGGCCUGACGACCAGACAAGCAAUAUAUGUCCCUCGAACGGCCAUUGCCCAAGUUCCGUGGUAUACCCCACGAACAUGGAGUUGGAGCAUACAUGCUAGGACCCGAAAGAUGGUGAACUAUGCCUGGACAAAGCGAAGCCAAAGGAAACUCUGGUGGAGGCUUGUAGCGAUUCUGACGUGCAAAUCGAUCGUCUGAUCUGGGUAUAGGGGCGAAAGACUAAUCGAACCAUCUCAUAGCUGGUUCCUGCCGAAGUUUCCCUCAGGAUAGCAGAGACCUAGUGGAAGUUGCAUGUGGUAAAGCGAAUGAUUAUUGAUCCUGGGGCUCAAAUGGGCCUCAGUCUAUUCUCAAACUGUGAAUGCGUGCGGUUGGACUGUGCUUAGCAAUAGAAGCCCUGCCAGCAAUGCUUCAGUCUCUAGUGGGCCGUUUCUGGUAAGCAGAACUGGCGAUGCGGGAUGAACCGAAAGUGAGGUUAAAGUGCCAGAAUGCACACUAACCAGAGAUAAAAGGUGUAUGUGCAUGGACACAGCAGGGCAGUGGCCAUGGA
rnacentral:rRNA from 1 species